UCGACCCAAGCCGCCGCACGCCGAGCUGCAUCCAUGGGCCUGGCCAUCUAGACCGUGGUCCCGGAUCCACUGCGACUUCGCCGAACCGAGAGACGCAGGAGACGGCUGGGAGCUGGCGUUGUCCAAGUGGCUCCUGCGGCAGAGAACGACGCCUCACUCCACAACGACUGUAACGCCUGCCGAGCUGAUGCUGGGACGCAAGCUGAAGACACGACUCGAUCGUCAACCGGCUGGUGCGGCAUGCACUACCACACCGGCUGUAACGACGCUGCCCACUGAUGUCGAGAUCUCCCGUGGCGGCGUCCCUCGACCGACUGCUGGGACCGUCUCUCAAGGCGCCGCGCUGGCCGCCGCCGAGAACGACAUGGCCACGCGUCGUUCGACUGCUGGGCCGCCGGUUGAGGAGCUGCAGCCGCCGCCAGUCCCGAGUGCUGCCACGGGUUCGCAGUCGCAGUCGUCGAAUCCAAAAACUGUGGUGCGUUCCCCUGAGCGGGCGGCGUCCGCCGGUGCGCGCCGGGGGCCGUCGGAGACCAGUGGCGGACCGGACGUUCCGGGUGCGCAAACAUCGGCGCCGUCACCUCGGAGAUCCGGUCGUGUGCGGAAUUCUCCUGACUUUUUCCAGAGUGUCUGGUUUUGUCGCGUUCCGUGAGGUGUACAGUGAGGUUAUAAGCGUGUUUUUUUUUUUUGGAAGGGAGGUGAUGUGGUGCAUGUAACCCUAGCUGACCCGUCGAGGGCGCGGCCCGAUUGGCCGCGACCGGUCACGUGACCGGCC